rnacentral:rRNA from 1 species
UACGUAGGGGGCAAGCGUUGUCCGGAAUCAUUGGGCGUAAAGCGCGUGUAGGCGGCUCGGUAAGUCCGCUCUGAAAGUCCGGGGCUCAACCCCGGGAGGCGGGUGGAUACUGUCGAGCUCGAGUCCGGAAGAGGCGAGUGGAAUUCCUGGUGUAGCGGUGAAAUGCGCAGAUAUCAGGAGGAACACCGAUGGCGAAGGCAGCUCGCUGGGACGUGACUGACGCUGAGACGCGAAAGCCAGGGGAGCGAACGGG